GACGAACGCUGGCGGCGUGCUUAACACAUGCAAGUCGAACGGAAAGGCCCUGCUUGCAGGGUGCUCGGGGGGCGAACGGGCGGGUAACACGGGGGUGAUCUGCCCCUUACUUUGUGAUAAGCCUGGACAACUGGGUCUAUUCCUGGAUAGGACAUUGCUGCAGGUGGUGUGGUGGAAAGAUUAUUUUCGGUUGGGGAUGAGAUCGCGGCCUUUCAGCGUGUUGGUGGGGUAAUGGCCUACCACGGCGUCGGCGGGUAGCCGGCCAGAGAGGGUGGACGGCCACAUUGGGACUGAGAUACGGCGCAGACUCCUACGGGAGGCAGCAGUGGGGAAUAGUGUAAAAUGGGCGCAAGGCGGAUGCAGCGACGCCGCGUGGGUGAUGACGGCCUUCGGGUUGUAAACUCCUUUCGGCCAUGACGAAGCCCUUGUGGUGACGGUAGUGGUAGAAGAAGCACCGGCUAACUACGUG
rnacentral:rRNA from 1 species